UGGGGAAUAUUGCGCAAUGGGCGAAAGCCUGACGCAGCGACGCCGCGUGGGGGAUGACGGCCUUCGGGUUGUAAACCUCUUUCGACCGGGACGAAGGGUGACUGACGGUACCGGUAGAAGAAGCACCGGCCAACUACGUGCCAGCAGCCGCGGUAAUACGUAGGGUGCGAGCGUUGUCCGGAAUUAUUGGGCGUAAAGAGCUCGUAGGCGGUGUGUCGCGUCGGUCGUGAAAACUUGGGGCUUAACCCUGAGCGUGCGGUCGAUACGGGCAUCACUUGAGUUCGGCAGGGGAGACUGGAAUUCCUGGUGUAGCGGUGAAAUGCGCAGAUAUCAGGAGGAACACCGGUGGCGAAGGCGGGUCUCUGGGCCGAUACUGACGCUGAGGAGCGAAAGCGUGGGGAGCGAACAGGAUUAGAUACCCUGGUAGUCCACGCCGUAAACGGUGGGCACUAGGUGUGGGGGCCAUUCCACGGUCUCUGUGCCGCAGCUAACGCAUUAAGUG
rnacentral:rRNA from 1 species